AGUGAACGCUGGCGGCAGGCCUAACACAUGCAAGUCGAGCGGCAGCGCGUCCGACCACCCUCGGGUGGUCGGAUGGCGGCGAGCGGCGGACGGGUGAGGAAUGCAUCGGAAUCUGCCUCGUUGUGGGGGAUAACGUAGGGAAACUUACGCUAAUACCGCAUACGACCUACGGGUGAAAGUGGGGGACCUUCGGGCCUCAAACGCGAUGAGAUGAGCCGAUGCCGGAUUAGCUAGUUGGCGGGGUAAAGGGCCCACCAAGGCGACGAUCCGUAGCUGGUCUGAGAGGAUGAUCAGCCACACUGGAACUGAGACACGGUCCAGACUCCUACGGGAGGCAGCAGUGGGGAAGU
rnacentral:rRNA from 1 species